rnacentral:rRNA from 1 species
UUGGAGGGCAAGUCUGGUGCCAGCAGCCGCGGUAAUUCCAGCUCCAAUAGCGUAUAUUAAAGUUGUUGCAGUUAAAAAGCUCGUAGUUGAAUUUCGGGAUCAAUAUGUUGGUCGUGCCUUGGUACGUACUAGUUUAUUGGUUUCUUCCUUCUGACGAACCAUGAUGUCAUUAAUUUGGUGUCUUGGGGAAUCAGGACUGUUACUUUGAAAAAAUUAGAGUGUUUAAAGCAGGCUCACGCUUGAAUACAUUAGCAUGGAAUAAUGAAAUAGGACGCUUGAUUCUAUUUUGUUGGUUUCUAGGAUCGACGUAAUGAUUAAUAGGGAUAGUUGGGGGCAUUAGUAUUCAAUUGUCAGAGGUGAAAUUCUUGGAUUUAUUGAAGACUAACUACUGCGAAAGCAUUUGCCAAGGAUGUUUUCAUUAAUCAAGAACGAAAGUUAGGGGAUCGAAGACGAUCAGAUACCGUCGUAGUCUUAACCAUAAACUAUGCCGACUAGGGAUCGGAUGAUGUUAAUUUUUUAAUGACUCAUUCGGCGCCUUACGGGAAAC